rnacentral:lncRNA from 1 species
AGGUGUGGAGGCUAUCCUUUUGGGUUUCAAUUGGGUAACAUACAAUCCAUGAUGUUGGCAUUUGGAAAAUUUGUCAUUAGAAUGGAUUUGAGAAGGAGAGACGCUUUGUGUGACGGCAUAUGGAGGACUAAUUAUGACCUUAGUGUGCUGGCAUUCGUUAUUUUAGAAGUAAAGGAUGCAAAAUGACAGAUCAUGGAGUUGAGGAAUUAGGGAGGUGAUUGUUCC